AGUUGUUUAUUUAUUUACCUGUUUAUUUCAGAUAAUUAUUGGAAUACUGUAUAUGCACUAUAUGAAUGUUCUGUAAUGUUUGAACAGUAAUUACUGUUCCAAACCCAUAUUUUGAAUGAAACCUGAGAGGUUUCUGUAUCUCCACUGAAAGUCCAUGUAACCAAAACUUAAAAGAUCCAGAAAGGUUCUAAAUGCACUAUACAACGAAUCCAUACGAAUAGAGUGGUUUAAUGUAAGUCUUGUGAAGAGAGACAAUUGCUUUAUAUGAUGAACAGAAAACACGUAGCUUGAUAAAAUUCAUCAGAUUUUGCCCAAAGCAGAAAAUGAGAAAAGGUUUGCAUCUGGGCAAAAUUAUGACUGCAUUUACAUAACAAGAUGAUUCGACUCACAUUAUAAAGCAUUACAAACGGCUAUCCUUUGGGGUCCAAGGGGGAUAAGAUUUUGUGGGGAUUUGGCAGGACCGCAGAACAAGCUUAACUAACAGCACCUGUACAUAGAUGUGAUGUUUGGAACACCUUAAUGAAAGGCUUUUGUAAGCAGCAGCAUUUCUGCUGAUAUUUCAAUAGAAGUGACAUUUACAGGGAAAAGCUCCUGACAAGGGCACCCUGCUGUGUCAUGGCUGGGGAAAAUGAUUAUCUCUUAUGCAGAAUGCAUGCAUGAAUGUAAGAUUUUCAUUUUUGUUGUCUCUAGUCUUGACAAAAACCAAAACAACUGCAGAUUCUACAGGAUUUGACUUGAAAAGAAAACACUGUGCUUCUCUACACUAGAUAUGUAAAGCGCAACAGAAUCUCAGUUACCUGCUGAGCCUUGGCACGUUUUCACAUGCUGUUUUUGGACAAUACUCUUCACUGUGAUUGAUGUCCCUUGAGACCGAAGCUCCGAUUACCCUUGGACUGAUCAGUUUGCAG